GACGAACGCUGGCGGCGUGCUUAACACAUGCAAGUCGAACGGAAAGGCCCUGCUUUUGUGGGGUGCUCGAGUGGCGAACGGGUGAGUAACACGUGAGUAACCUGCCCUUGACUUUGGGAUAACUUCAGGAAACUGGGGCUACUACCGGAUAGGAGCUCCUGCUGCAUGGUGGGGGUUGGAAAGUUUCGGCGGUUGGGGAUGGACUCGCGGCUUAUCAGCUUGUUGGUGGGGUAGUGGCUUACCAAGGCUUUGACGGGUAGCCGGCCUGGGAGGGUGGACAGCGACAUUAGUACUGAGAGACGGACCAGAGUCCUACGGGAGACAGUAGGGGGGAACAUGGCACAAUGGGCGGGAGCCUGAUGCAACAACGCCGCGAGCGUGAUGACGGCCUUCGGGUUGUAAACCGCUGUCGCCUGUGACGAAGCGGUAGUGACGUUAAUGAGUAAAGAAGCACCGGCUAACUACGUG
rnacentral:rRNA from 1 species